rnacentral:lncRNA from 1 species
GAGCAUGUAAAUAAACUGCUGAAAGAGAGAGCAUAAGUAAAAUGCUAUACUACAAUGUCUCACAUAAGCACGAUGUCAAAAUGUGGUACAUCUAUUCUAUCAUAAGGAAAAGUGACCAAUGGCAAUAGUUUACUGUCACAACCCUUUAUUCAUACAUGAUGUAUAAGCUCUAUCAUGGCAGCCAAGUAUACUGUGAUGAAGUAGGUAACUGUCAAGUAUACUACAUGUCUCAACCCUAUGCUAUAUGCAUGUAAAUGUAAUCCAACUACUAAACCUAUCUAGUAGUGAUUGUUCAUUCUCAAACCGUGUCGAUUUUCAUUUCCAAUUAGGGACCUACCCAAGGUAGUCCAGCUUGUGCCGCCUAAGUGCCUGUGGUAGCCCGACAUUCCUACACAUGGAAUGUGUCUGUCCCACUCGACCCCGUAGGCUUCUCGAUACCGCACGAGCGAACAAAAGUCACGUAGGCUAACUCCGGAGUGCCGGCUUGUAGGGAGCGACCCUCACAAGCAUGUGCGAAUGAGCACAAAUGGCAAGCAAGCAUAGUCCAAGUCUCAAGUAUCCAAUCCUUAUGUCUCUAACAUGGUAUAGUCACUAGUAUCCCGAAGAUCUAGUACUAAGUCACAAAUGAAGUUCCAAC